rnacentral:rRNA from 1 species
GAUGAACGCUGGCGGCGUGCCUAAUACAUGCAAGUCGAGCGAACAGACGAGGAGCUUGCUCCUCUGACGUUAGCGGCGGACGGGUGAGUAACACGUGGAUAACCUUCCUAUAAGACUGGGAUAACUUCGGGAAACCGGAGCUAAUACCGGAUAAUAUAUUGAACCGCAUGGUUCAAUAGUGAAAGACGGUUUUGCUGUCACUUUUAGAUGGAUCCGCGCCGCAUUAGCUAGUUGGUAAAGUAACGGCUUACCAAGGCAACGAUGCGUAGCCGACCGGAGAGGGUGAUCGGCCCCACUGGAACUGGGACACGGUCCAGACUCCUACGGGAGGCAGCAGUAGGGAAUCUUCCGCCAUGGGCGGAAGCCUGACGGAGCAACGCCGCGUGAGUGAUGAAGGUCUUCGGAUCGUAAAACUCUGUUAUUAGGGAAGAACAAAUGUGUAAGUAACUAUGCACGUCUUGACGGUACCUAAUCAGAAAGCCACGGCUAACUACGUG